AAAUCGAAGAGAGGGUAAAGGAACAGUACCAUUGCUGGAUAAUUGGAAAGUCCCUGUGUGUCAACCUCUGUGCUUCGUGGCAAGGUAGACUAGCAAACAUGCCCAACCUUUACUCACAUUCGAGAAAACACUCCCAACAAGAUUGCUUGCUCCAAAAUCGAAGAGGCACCGCCCUCCGAAUCUCGAGAGCCAGACUCCCAACAUGAUUACUUUCUCAAAAAUCGAAGAGACACUGCUCCCCGAAUCUCGAGAGCCAGACCCCCAGCAUGAUUGCUUUCUCAAAAAUCGAUGAGGCAUCGUUCUCCGAAUCAAUCGAAGAGGCGCUCGCUUUCUCAAAAGCUGGGCUGCUCAGAGACCACGAGGGCCGAUCUCAGAAAUCGAAGAGGCACCUACUUUUCUAGCCUUGUCAGCACCUGUCACACGCACACUCAGCUUUGCAGAAAUUAUGGGCAUUCUGUCGAAGACUUCUGGUGAAGUAGAAAGCACAUGAAUCUUACUGUUCAAUCACCCACUUCCCACACGCAACAAUAGCUCAUGGGUACCACAGAUAACUUUGCCAAAGUUCUCUGCCAAAGUUGAGCACGUGAAGCUUGCAGCUCCCACUACAUCGCUCUGACCAAGAAAGGUAAAAGAAUAGCAAAGAAACAGCACUAACAAAGUUUAGACACAUAAAUUUUGAAGGUCUAGCUACCAUAUUAUUACCCACAAGGGUAAAGGAACAGUACCACUGCUGGAUAAUUGGAAAGUCCCUGUGUGUCAACCUCUGUGCUUCGUGGCAAGGUAGACUAGCAAACAUGCCCAACCUUUACUCACAUUCGAGACAACACUCCCAACAAGAUUGCUUGCUCCAAAAUCGAAGAGGCACCGCCCUCCGAAUCUCGAGAGCCAGACUCCCAACAUGAUUACUUCCUCAAAAAUCGAAGAGACACUGCUCUCCGAAUCUCGAGAGCCA
rnacentral:lncRNA from 1 species